UUAUCAGUAUCAGUCAUGCAGAUUACUAGUGCUGCUUAUAAAACAUGUGAUUUACGAUAAGUAUUUAGGUUGAGUAGGAAAAGGUAACCAGUUACUGCCGCACCAGUUGCAAGUUACAACUUAUAGGUCUUGGAUGCAGUUAAAUUUCUGUAAUACUUAGAAUACUAUUGAUAUUAAUUUUAUAUAUUUUUAUGAGAUGUGUGUGUGAGUUUGAUAUUAUUAAUUAGUGUGAAAUACAAGAGAGAUCAGAGUUCUAAGUUGAGUUUUUUUUUAUUUCUAACAGAAAUAAAGUAGAAAAAUGUCUGUCUGCGAGACUGUUGAAACUGUGCUAGGAUCUACAUUGCUAUCUGAAAUUGGUAUAACACUAACACAUGAGCAUGUGCAUCUUGAUUUUAAUGAAUUCUAUGUUCCUCCACCAGCAAAUUUACAGAGUUUUCUGGAUAACAAAAUCAAUCUGAAGAAUGUUGGAUAUAUUAAACAGUAUCCAUAUAGCAAUAAGUAUAAUUUGACAUUUAACGAUGCUGACUCAGCACAAGCUGUCAUUGAAGAUGUAAAGUCAUUUUAUACAUUUGGCGGUAGAACUAUUGUGGAAAAUAGUAGCCAUGGUUUGAAUCGCAACAUUCCUCUCAUGGUGAAAAUUAGUGAGCAGACUGGAGUUAAUAUUCUUGCUGGAACUGGAUAUUAUGUUGCCAGUGUACAAAAUGCAUCAACUCUUAAGAUGACUAAAGAAGAGAUGUAUAAUGUAAUGUGUACUGAGUUGCAGAAAGGUUGCAUUGAUUAUCCUAAAAUAAAAGCAGGGUUUAUUGGAGAAGUUGGCAGUAGUUGGCCAAUUACAGAUUUUGAAAAACGUGCUAUUUGUGCGACUGGCGAGAUUCAAGAGCAGCUGCGUUGCUCAGUGAGCUUUCAUCCUGGAAGAGACAAAACAGCACCCUCUGAAAUAAUGCGACUCUAUCAAGAAGCUGGAGGAAAUGCUCGCCGAGCUAUCAUGUCCCACGUCGAUCGUACGUUACUUGAUGUGGAGGCGAUAAUAGAAUUUGCUGAAGCGGUCGAGUGUUAUUGCCAGUUUGAUCUCUUUGGUACAGAGUGUUCCUUUUAUCAGCUCAAUCCGAUGAUCGAUAUGCCAUCAGAUGCACAGCGUAUGAAAUGUAUCGCGCGACUAAAAGAGGAAAAGCAACUGCAUCGAGUGCUCUUGAGUCACGAUAUUCACACUAAGCAUAGACUGACAACAUUCGGUGGUCACGGAUAUUCUCAUAUCAUGAAUAAUGUUGUGCCAGUAUUGAAAAGCAAGCACUUCACGACGGAAGAGAUCGAAUUGCUGACAGUGGGAAAUCCUAGAACGUGGCUUAGCCAACAUUUAUAAGCGAGUGCAAAUAUUAGGCUAAAAUACAUUGGCGACGAGUAGUCAGGAGACGGCGAAACAUGUUAAAACAAGGUGCGAAGAUCAUGCGAGAAAAGGCUCGGUAACACAGUCUUGCUGUUACAAGCAUUUCAGCUCCUUCCUCCUGUUCCUUCCCGUCUCUUCUUUCUGCGACAAGGGACAUCUGUUCUCUUCAAGUCGCCGACAUCAGCUGCUGACUCGAUCUUUCACG